GGGACAGCCUGAUGGGUCCUCAGAAUCCAGGGACAGAGCUCAAAUCCAGGGCAGCCUAGGUGGCCCGGGUUCUCUCUUCUUGGCUUCAGGAUGUGUCUUUUUCGGCAUUUCGCUCAGCUCUUCAUUCUGCAGGAUCAGCUCUGCAGAUUUAAUACGUGGGAGUGUGAUUAGAUUUUCCUGUUGCCACAGAUUUAAAAAAACAACAACAUAACAUUGGGACAAUCCAGGAAGAAGAAAUAAUAACUAAACAUAUGUAUGAAUCUAGCACCAUGUCACUCAGAAACACAAAGCAAGCAUUAGCAGAGAACUGCAUUGCCAUACGAUGAUUACCAGAGACUUCAGCACUCCAAUUUCAGCAAUGGGUAGCCAAUUCAGACAGAAAACCGGCAAAGGAUUUUUGUAGUUAAAC
rnacentral:lncRNA from 1 species